UGCCCAAGUUUUUGGCUUAGACAUCUUGGUGGACAGUGGUGCCAAUUAUUGAGAUGGUGAAAGGGGAACAGGCUGAGGAGUUCCCUGGAGACCAAUGCUCAUGGAAGAGGGGCAGGAGGCAGGAAUGGGCAGAGGGAGAAGAUGAGCACAGGCCCGGCAGUGGCCUUGGCCGGCUGGAUGAGGAACUCCAGUGCUGGACACGCCUCUUCUAGAGCUGUCAUGAGGACUGUGACGCUCAGAGAGGCUAAGCAACUCACCCAAAGUCACACAGCUGGAAAGUGCCAAACAUAUGCAGAAUUUCAAU